UUGUAAGUGUUUAAGGGCGCAUGGUGGAUGCCUUGGCAUCAGGAGCCGAUGAAGGACGUGGGAGGCCGCGAUAGUCCUCGGGGAGUUGUCAGCCGAGCUGUGAUCCGAGGGUGUCCGAAUGGGGAAACCCAGCACGAGUGAUGUCGUGUUACCCGCCGCUGAAUGUAUAGGUGGUGUGGAGGGAACGCGGGGAAGUGAAACAUCUCAGUACCUGCAGGAAGAGAAAACAAGAGUGAUUCCGUGAGUAGUGGCGAGCGAAAGCGGAUGGUGGCUAAACCUUAUGCGUGUGAUACCCGGCGGGGGUUGCGUAUGGGGGGUUGUGGGGCAGUGUUGUUCUGUUACCGCCGUGACAGUCAGGUCUAGUGUGUGUGUUAGCGGAAGCCGCUUGGGAUGGUGUGCCGGAGAGGGUGAGAGUCCCGUACGCGAAAAUGCAUGCCUGGUCUGUGAUGCUGUACCCGAGUAGCAGCGGGCUCGUGGAAUCUGCUGUGAAUCUGCCGGGACCACCCGGUAAGCCUGAAUACUCCCUGAUGACCGAUAGUGGAUGAGUACCGUGAGGGAAUGGUGAAAAGUACCCCGGGAGGGGAGUGAAAUAGUACCUGAAACCAUGCGCUUACAAUCCGUCAGAGCCUUGCUUUUGUGGGGUGAUGGCGUGCCUUUUGAAGAAUGAGCCUGCGAGUUAGUGGCAUGUCGCGAGGUUAACCCGUGGGGGGUAGCCGUAGCGAAAGCGAGUCUGAAUAGGGCGCGUGUAGUGGCAUGUUCUAGGCCCGAAGCGGAGUGAUCUACCCAUGGCCAGGGUGAAGCGUCGGUAAGACGUCGUGGAGGCCCGAACCCACUUAGGUUGAAAACUGAGGGGAUGAGUUGUGGGUAGGGGUGAAAGGCCAAUCAAACUCCGUGAUAGCUGGUUCUCCCCGAAAUGCAUUUAGGUGCAGCGUCGCGUGUUUCUUGCCGGAGGUAGAGCUACUGGAUGGCCGAUGGGCCUCACCAGGUUACUGACGUCAGCCAAACUCCGAAUGCCGGUAAGUGAGAGCGCGGCAGUGAGACUGCGGGCGAUAAGGUUCGCUGGUCGAGAGGGAAACAGCCCAGAUCGCCGGCUAAGGCCCCUAAGCGUGUGCUAAGUGGGAAAGGAUGUGGGACCGCUCAGACAGCCAGGAGGUUGGCUUAGAAGCAGCCACCCUUGAAAGAGUGCGUAAUAGCUCACUGGUCUAGUGGUCCUGCGCCGACAAUGUAGCGGGGCUCAAGCACACCGCCGAAGCCGCGGCGCUCCAGCAGUAACAUCCACACACAAUUGAGUUGUGUGUGCAGUGGCUGGGGCGGGUAGGGGAGCGUCCUGCAUCCAGGGAAGCAGCCGUGUGAACGAGUUGUGGAGGGUGUGGGAGUGAGAAUGCAGGCAUGAGUAGCGAAAGCAGAGUGAGAAACUCUGCCGCCGGAUGACCAAGGGUUCCUGGGGCAGGUUAAUCCGCCCAGGGUGAGUCGGGACCUAAGGCGAGGCCGACAGGCGUAGUCGAUGGAUAACGGGUUGAUAUUCCCGUACCCGUGUGGGCGCGUCAAUGGCGAAUCAGUUGUGCUAACCGUCCUGAUGGUGAAAGACCCGCUUCGGUGGGCUGGAUCCGGAUGCACGGGACCCUGGCUGGUAGUAGUCAAGCGAUGGGGUGACGCAGGAAGGUAGUGGGGCCAGUGAGUGGUAGUACUGGUGUAAGCCGGUAGGGAGGGACAUAGGUAAAUCCGUGUCCCGCUAUAUCCUGAGAGGUGAUGCGACCCCAUAGAUGGGGGAUUCCAUGAUCCUAUGCUGCCGAGAAAAGCCUCUAGCGAGUUCCCGCACGGCCCGUACCCCAAACCGACACAGGUGGUCAGGUAGAGAAUACUAAGGCGAUCGAGUGAACUGUGGUUAAGGAACUCGGCAAAAUGCCCCCGUAACUUCGGGAGAAGGGGGACCACGCCUGGUGAACACCCUUUGCGGUGGGAGCUGGGGGUGGUCGCAGAGACCAGAGAGAAGCGACUGUUUACUAAAAACACAGGUCCGUGCGAAGCCGCAAGGCGAGGUAUACGGACUGACGCCUGCCCGGUGCUGGAAGGUUAAGAGGACCGGUUAGCUCCCCUUGCGGGGGGCGAAGCUGAGAAUUUAAGCCCCAGUAAACGGCGGUGGUAACUAUAACCAUCCUAAGGUAGCGAAAUUCCUUGUCGGGUAAGUUCCGACCUGCACGAAUGGCGUAACGACUUCUCUGCUGUCUCAACCACAGGCUCGGUGAAAUUGCAUUACGAGUAAAGAUGCUCGUUACGCGCGGCAGGACGAAAAGACCCCGGGACCUUUACUGCAGCUUGGUAUUGGUGUCUGGUUCGGUUUGUGUAGGAUAGGUGGGAGACUGUGAAACCCUCACGCCAGUGGGGGCGGAGUCGUUGUUGAAAUACCACUCUGACCGGAUUGGGCAUCUAACCUCGGACCCUGAACGGGUUCAGGGACAGUGCCUGGUGGGUAGUUUAACUGGGGCGGUUGCCUCCUAAAAGGUAACGGAGGCGCCCAAAGGUUCCCUCAGCCUGGUUGGCAAUCAGGUGUUGAGUGCAAGUGCACAAGGGAGCUUGACUGUGAGACGUACAGGUCGAGCAGGGACGAAAGUCGGGACUAGUGAUCCGGCACCCCCGAGUGGAAGGGGUGUCGCUCAACGGAUAAAAGGUACCCCGGGGAUAACAGGCUGAUCUUCCCCAAGAGUCCAUAUCGACGGGAUGGUUUGGCACCUCGAUGUCGGCUCGUCGCAUCCUGGGGCUGGAGUAGGUCCCAAGGGUUGGGCUGUUCGCCCAUUAAAGCGGCACGCGAGCUGGGUUUAGAACGUCGUGAGACAGUUCGGUCUCUAUCCGCCGCGCGCGUACAGAAACUUGAGGAAACCUGUCCCUAGUACGAGAGGACCGGGACGGACGGACCUCUGGUAUGCCAGUUGUCCCGCCAGGGGCACGGCUGGUUAGCUAAGUCCGGAAGGGAUAACCGCUGAAAGCAUCUAAGCGGGAAGCCCGUUCCAAGAUGAGGUUUCUCACCCUCCUAGAAGGGGUAAGGCCCCCCACAGACCAUGGGGUUGAUAGGCCAGAACUGGAAGCCCAGCAAUGGGUGCAGGUGACUGGUACUAACCGGCCGAGGACUUACACAC
rnacentral:rRNA from 1 species